CGGCGGUCGCUCCGCGCGAGAGGCUCGUGAACCCGGUCAGGCCCGGAAGGGAGCAGCCGUAAACGGUUUGUUUCUGUGAUGCGGAUGGGGCCGCCUUUA
rnacentral:SRP_RNA from 1 species